UGGGGAAUUUUGGACAAUGGGCGAAAGCCUGAUCCAGCAAUGCCGCGUGUGUGAAGAAGGCCUUCGGGUUGUAAAGCACUUUUGUCCGGAAAGAAAUCCUUGGCUCUAAUACAGUCGGGGGAUGACGGUACCGGAAGAAUAAGCACCGGCUAACUACGUGCCAGCAGCCGCGGUAAUACGUAGGGUGCAAGCGUUAAUCGGAAUUACUGGGCGUAAAGCGUGCGCAGGCGGCUUGCUAAGACCGAUGUGAAAUCCCCGGGCUCAACCUGGGAACUGCAUUGGUGACUGGCAGGCUAGAGUAUGGCAGAGGGGGGUAGAAUUCCACGUGUAGCAGUGAAAUGCGUAGAGAUGUGGAGGAAUACCGAUGGCGAAGGCAGCCCCCUGGGCCAAUACUGACGCUCAUGCACGAAAGCGUGGGGAGCAAAACAGGAUUAGAUACCCUGGUAGUCCACGCCCUAAAACGAUGUCAACUAGUUGUUGGGGAUUCAUUUCCUUAGUAACGUAGCUAACGCGUGAAGUUGACCGCCUGGGGAGUACGGUCGCAAGAUUAAAACUCAAAUGAAUUGACGGGGUCAUAGCUGUUUCCU
rnacentral:rRNA from 1 species